GACGAACGCUGGCGGCGUGCUUAACACAUGCAAGUCGAACGGAAAGGCCCUGCUUUUGUGGGGUGCUCGAGUGGCGAACGGGUGAGUAACACGUGAGUAACCUGCCCUUGACUUUGGGGUAACUUCAGGAAACUGGGGCUAAUACCGGAUAGGAGCUCGUGCUGCAUGGUGGGGGUUGGAAAGUUUCGGCGGUUGGGGAUGGACUCGCGGCUUAUCAGCUUGUUGGUGGGGUAGUGGCUUACCAAGGCUUUGACGGGUAGCCGGCCUGAGAGGGUGACCGGCCACAUUGGGACUGAGAUACGGCCCAGACUCCUACGGGAGGCAGCAGUGGGGAAUAUUGCACAAUGGGCGGAAGCCUGAUGCAGCAACGCCGCGUGCGGGAUGACGGCCUUCGGGUUGUAAACCGCUUUCGCCUGUGACGAAGCGUGAGUGACGGUAAUGGAUAAAGAAGCACCGGCUAACUACGUG
rnacentral:rRNA from 1 species